UACGUAGGGUGCAAGCGUUUGUCCGGAAUUAUUGGGCGUAAAGAGCUCGUAGGCGGUUUGUCGCGUCUGCUGUGAAAAUCCAGGGCUUAACCCUGGACCUGCAGUGGGUACGGGCAGACUGGAGUGCGGUAGGGGGAGAUCGGAAUUCCUGGUGUAGCGGUGAAAUGCGCAGAUAUCAGGAGGAACACCGGUGGCGAAGGCGGAUCUCUGGGCCGUAACUGACGCUGAGGAGCGAAAGCAUGGGGGAGCGAACAGG
rnacentral:rRNA from 1 species